rnacentral:tRNA from 1 species
GCGUCGGUGGCUCAGCUGUCAAGCACUUGACUUGCAAUCUGCAGGUCGUGGGUUCGAAUCCCGCCAUGCA